GCAGGGGUAGCCAAGCGGUCAACGGCGGUGGACUCAAAAUCCACUCUCUUAGUGAGUUCGAGGGUUCAAAUCCCUUCUCCUGCA
rnacentral:tRNA from 1 species